CUGGGGCCUCGCGGCCGCCUAAACCGCCUGUGGGCAAUCUGUGUCAGGUCCUCGGUCAGUGACCGAGGACCUGACACCAGGAGGGGGCCCGGCGGCUUGCCCGGUAUGCCGCCGGGUGCGAGGCCCCUCCUGGUGAGAGACCACCUGCAACCCCUGGUCUGCAGCUCCGCGCAGUGUGCAGAGCUGCAGACCAAGUGUCUGGCGAGAUCUGGCCAAUCAGAGCGUUGCCGCGGGUUACCACGGCAACGCUCUGACCGGGUCUCGCGAGACUCUUGGUCUGCAGCUCUGCACACUGCGCGGAGCUGCAGACCAGAAAUCACCACCGGACCACCAGGGAAAGAAGAAGCCACCGGACCACCAGGGAAAGAAGCCACCGGACCACCAGGGAAAGAAGCCACCGGACCACCAGGGAAAGAAGAAGCCACCGGACCACCAGGGAAAGAAGAAGCCACUGGACCACCAGGGAAAGAAGAAGCCACUGGACCACCAGGGAAAGCAGGUAUUUAGUACCCCCCUCCAUUAUACCCCCCUCCCAGUAGCCCCCCUCCAUUAUACCCCCCUCCCAGUUACCCCCCUCCAUUGUAGCCCCCCUCCAUUAUACCCCCUCCCAGUAACCCCCC